GCGCCUUGCCAGCCCGCUCAGAAACUUAAAGGAAUUGACGGGGGCCCGCACAAGCGGAGGAGCAUGUGGUUUAAUUCGAUGAUACGCGAGGAACCUUACCUGGGCUCGAACGUAAGAUGACUGUAGGUGAAAGCUUACAUCUCUUCGGAGCAUUUUACGAGGUGCUGCAUGGUUGUCGUCAGCUCGUGCCGUGAGGUGUCGGGUUAAGUCCCGCAACGAGCGCAACCCUUGCCUUUAGUUGCCAGCAGUUCGGCUGGGCACUCUAAAGGGACUGCCGGUGUUAAACCGGAGGAAGGUGGGGAUGACGUCAAGUCCUCAUGGCCUUUAUGACCAGGGCUACACACGUACUACAAUGGCCGAUACAAAGGGCAGCGACACUGCGAGGUGAAGCCAAUCCCGUAAAAUCGGUCUCAGUCCGGAUUGGAGUCUGCAACUCGACUCCAUGAAGUUGGAAUCGCUAGUAAUCGUGGAUCAGCAUGCCACGGUGAAUACGUUCCCGGGCCUU
rnacentral:rRNA from 1 species